rnacentral:rRNA from 1 species
CAAUAGCGUAUAUUUAAGUUGUUGCAGUUAAAAAGCUCGUAGUUGGAUUUCGGGUGGGACGCAGCGGUCUCGCAUUGCGUUUGUACUGCUGCAGCCCUCCUUCUUGCCGGGGGCGGCCUGUCGGACUUCACUGUCUGCGGGUCAGAAUCGGCGAUGUUACUUUGAGUAAAUUAGAGUGUUCAAAGCAAGCUUACGCUCUGAAUAUAAUAGCAUGGGAUAACACGACAGGACUCUGGCCUAUCGUGUUGGUCUAUAGGACCAGAGUAAUGAUUAAGAGGGACAGUCGGGGGCAUUCGUAUUCCGUUGUCAGAGGUGAAAUUCUUGGAUUUACGGAAGACGAACAUCCGCGAAAGCAUUUGCCAAGGAUGUUUNCAUUG